rnacentral:rRNA from 1 species
UCGGAUUGCAGGCUGCAACUCGCCUGCAUGAAGCUGGAAUUGCUAGUAAUCGCGGAUCAGCAAGCCGCGGUGAAUACGUUCCCGGGCCUUGUACACACCGCCCGUCACACCAUGAGAGUCGGGAACACCCGAAGUCCGUAGUCUAACCGCAAGGGGGGCGCGGCCGAAGGUGGGUCCGGUAAUUGGGGUGAAGUCGUAACAAGGUAGC